AGUUCAUGGUGAGCGAAUAACCUUAGCAUUUCCUUAAAUCCCUCUCAUGCUUCGUAGCGUGAUUCCCCAUCAUCUUGCUUAAAAUUAUUUAAUCGACUUCUAAGCU